rnacentral:rRNA from 1 species
ACGGAGGCAGCAGUGGGGAAUAUUGCACAAUGGGCGCAAGCCUGAUGCAGCGACGCCGCGUGGGGGAUGAAGGCCUUCGGGUUGUAAACUCCUUUCGCUAUCGACGAAGCCUUCGGGUGACGGUAGGUAGAUAAGAAGCACCGGCUAACUACGUGCCAGCAGCCGCGGUAAUACGUAGGGUGCAAGCGUUGUCCGGAAUUACUGGGCGUAAAGAGCUCGUAGGUGGUUUGUCGCGUCGUCUGUGAAAUCCCGGGGCUUAACUUCGGGCGUGCAGGCGAUACGGGCAUAACUUGAGUGCUGUAGGGGAGACUGGAAUUCCUGGUGUAGCGGUGAAAUGCGCAGAUAUCAGGAGGAACACCGAUGGCGAAGGCAGGUCUCUGGGCAGUUACUGACGCUGAGGAGCGAAAGCAUGGGUAGCGAACAGGAUUAGAUACCCUGGUA